GUGCAAUUUCUGUUAAUUGAUACUUAUAACUGUUUUGUGAAAAGUAGGAGUUAUUAAAAAUAGUAUUUAUAAAUCUUAGUACCUUUUGCAUAAGGGUUUUUCAAGAUAAAUUUAAGCAUUUAAAUUUCCCGAAUAAAAGAGAGUUAUUCUUUUGAGUUAAAAAAUCGUGGUAGAGAUUAAUAUAAACUAAAGAAUGGCGGCUAGAUACUAUUCGCGCUUUUAGAUAUCUGGUUAAAAGAUGUGUAAGCAUUGCUUUUAAAUAAUUAAGAGGUAAUGACUCGAAAGUUUUUUGGGUUAAGCUGAAAAACGGGGAAAUUGAUCUUAAUAAAAAUACUGGUUUUUAUAGGCUUUAAACUGGUCAUUUGACACUAAUGUAUUUUAACUAAAGCCAAAUAGUAAGAUGAUAAAUUGGUUCUGUCAUUUGUGCUUAAUGAGCUUAUGGUUAUAAAACUAAUAAUUAUGAUAAAAACGAGUAAAAAUUUUUUUCAUUAGGUAUAAUUUUUUAUUUUUGCCUUAUAAACUUGAAUGCUUGAUAAAAGUUUUUAAAUGAACUCGGCAAACAAAACUUCUCGACUGUUUCACAAAAACAUUUCCUUCUGGUGUAAAUAAAAGGUAGUCCCUGCCCAGUGCAGCUAGAGUAAUGUCUGCUGUGAACGGCGGCGUUAACGUGAGCGUCCUAAGGUAGCGCGAUAAUUUGCCUUUCAAUUAAAGGAUGGUAUGAAAGGGUUAACGAGGAAGAUGCUGUGUCUAAAAACUUAGUUUAAACUAACUUAAAGGUGAAGAGGCCUUUAUAAGAAAGAAGGACGACAAGACCCUAUGAAGCUUUAUCUUAUUAGGGAUUUGAAAGAUCCUUAUACGAUUUUGAUGGGAGAUCAGUAAAAAUAAGUCUUUUACCAUUAUUUUUAUCUUACAAGUGUUUCCUAAUUUUAUAUGUGUGACUAGCUACUCUAGGGAUAACAGCGCAAUUUCUCCCGAAAGAUGGUAUUGGAGGGGAAGAUUGCGACCUCGAUGUUGGCUUUAGAUGUCCUAGAGGUGUAGAAGCUUCUAAUGGUGGGUCUGUUCGCCCUUUAAAAUCUAACAUGAGCUGAGUUCAGAACGGCGUGAGCUAGUUCAGUUUCUAUCCUCUUUUUAAAAUCAGUUAAUCUUGUACGAAAGGACUUUUUUGCUAAAGUAAUGCUUUUUAGUCAACCUUGUUAUUACACAAACUAUGUUAUACAAUAGGCUGAUUGACCUACAAAAAGGGACU
rnacentral:rRNA from 1 species